ACCGCUGCCGUUCCGCGGUCACUAUUAUUGUUUACAAAACUUAUGUGACUCACCGGCAAUUAAAACGUUAUUGGGUAACAACGGGUUUUGCGGUGCCUGCACCUUUCGAAAUGUAUCAAGGCUACCGUGAUUCGAUGCGAGCGUACAGUUUCUAGGGAUAUCAUCGGUGCAAUUACAUUUCUGCGAGGAUGCUCGACCAAGAGAACAAUGGCAAAAGAUAACGAACAAGGUGCAACAAGAUUGAAAAUCACACCAGGAGAAGUGUUUCCGUCUAACGUUGUUACAGAAAGAGUAACCCUAACACGAAUGUUUGGUAAACGUGCUUCCAAAAAUAUCUACCCAAACAUCGUGUUAACACCGACAGCGAAAAAACCAGAUGGUCAACGUCAUAGCGAACGGCUGAGAAAAAGAAAAGCUGUG